rnacentral:lncRNA from 1 species
UGUAGAUUAAAAAUCAAAUGUGUAAAGUCUUCAUGUGUGUGGCCUAUGGGGUUGUUUAAAUCCUAAACAUUUACAAAAUUGCUAGACCGGGAAAGGUAACCGGCGGACAUACAAUUUAAUGGCGCCUAACCAAUGAAUCAAAGUAUCAACUGUAAAGAAGUCAGCAUGAACGAGCCGCAGCUACAAUCGUUGCAAGAAUGAUUUCGCACUUCAGUUCAUGAAUUUGCGACAGUUAGGAGCUCUGCAAAGGCAAGGCACUUUGAUUUCUUCAGAUUCAUCAACCUCAAAGAGAUAAUCAUACCUGUAGAGAGAAUCAGUUUUCAUGGUCAAGGUCAAGAAUUUAAGAGAAAUAUGAAUUAUAUGGGAAGAUGAAGCUGGAAGGAACAAGUGUUACGUAAGCUCUUCGCCUGGUGUAACAUUAGUCUUUGCAAUGAGGACGAUUCUGUUCUCUUCUCCAUCGCCUAUACUCACAAUACGUGCAUAGCAAUUGGGCAUACACUGCACAACAAGACAAUGAGCAUCAUUAGUGUUUAGUUACUACUAGUACUAGGUUUUAGUCUAGUGUGUGGGGAAACUUACUGAAUGGUUGAUCAAUCGGGCUAUGUUUCCAGAGUUUGUGGCAUCAAUCACUAUCUCUUCGCUUAUCUUGAACAGCUGCGUAUUAAGAAAAAUUAAAUUGACCAUUAGAAGCAGCGGGGAUAAUGAUGAAUGGCAGCAAGUAAUCUCAACUUACAUAACAAUCUUUGCCCUGUGCACGAUAGUUUGCCUCUCUCAGAUCUGCAACACUUCUCCUAACUUUCACCUCUCUAUUGUGCAUUUGUGUGACCUUGAUAACACACUGUGAACAGGAACUCAGAGUAGCUGUUGGGAGAUUCUGAUGGCAACAAUGUCACCAUCAGUUCCUGCUUUCAUCGUCUGAUACUUCACAAGGAUUCCUGCAUUUAGAUAUGUGAAUAGUACUUAUAAUUGUUUGUUCUUCAUAAAGAUGGUUGAUUAUGCAAAUUGAUCUGGACAUAUAUGUAAUACCUUCGUUUUUCUGUAACCUUGUGUGAACAGCAACUGCGUGGGUUGUGAUAAAUGCUUUGGGUUGGGAAUCUUCUGGCUCUCCGGUCCAAGACUUGAGGUGGAGAAUACCUAUAGAGGUUUCAGUUCAUGAGAACCAGAGUCAAAGGUUUAAAGAGGAACAAAAGAAACAUAAGAUAAGAAGUGUAACUGGGGGCUUGAACUUACCUGAGGAUGAAGAUGCUUUAAGGUGUUUGAGAUCAUAUAUGGCUCCACAAGCUGCACUUGUGUCUUUCUGUAACUUAUGAGAUCCGAUGAGAUUGUAGUCCCAGCUUCCAGCUUUGUAUUCUUCAUUCAGGAACAGUUCAAUGUGCCUGGUAUCAAGUAUUUGCAUUGUUCCUACACAGUGAAAAACAGAAAAUUCUUAGGUUACUGCAAAGACUGAUACAUUAACAUUAAAUUCUAACAUAUUUGAGUUGAUAAGAGACUUUUACCAUCACAGGUACUGAGGUCACAAACAGGACAACGAACAAGCUGUAAAUCUGUAAACAAAGAUAAGUCAUGUUACAUCUCCUCCGUUCAUGGACAAGUUCCAGAACCUAUGAUGUCUUACCUGCAAUCCAGAUACCGCUUUUGAUGUCUUUUAUGAUACAUGAACCAGUGGAUUGCAACAUCUGUUCUAUGGUGCCUUGAACCCUUGGGACUUUCAGCUGACCACUCAAACUCUCAGUCAGGAGUGACAUCCGAGAGUCAAGAGUAAAGGCACCAAUACGCAUCCAGUCUGUAAUGACAGUGUCAAAACCAGAUAAAAUGAGGCUGUGCUCAGCAAAUGAACUACUUGAGAGCCAAAGAGUUGCCAUAUGGCUUCACAUCCAAAUCAACAUGACUAAGAAAGUAUUGAUGAAUCAAAUUCAGGGACUGACCAAUAUGCUUUUCCUUCUGAUGGAACAAGUAAGAGUGACUCCCAUCUGCAUUGCCCAGUACAAGUUAUAUUCUUCUUUUUUGAUGUGUAUUGCGUAUAAUAAUACUUACCAAAAGCAGAAGCAUAUAUCUUGUUCCAGCUAGAAGAAACUGGACACGGCCGUGGCACAUGAAGAUCACGCAAGCAAGCAAACCUCCAAAUAGACUCCUCCAUUACGGUCUUGUGAAACCAUUUGCUUGUUGCUCCCAGCAUCACCAGCGAUUUACCAUCCAGAAACCUCGAUAUGUAUGUCCAUACGUCUUGCUCAAACCUGAAUCGACAUAAAAGUUUAUAAGAACAGACUCAGGAAUCUGACGCAGAGAGACUUAGAUCUACGGAUCCUCCUGAUUCGAAAUCCAAGGAGUUAUAGCAAUCGGUUUUCAAAUUCCUCUUCGUUGUAUCUGGAUUCAAAUUACGAUCGAUCGUCAACCAAGUCACUCAUUAACAUCGGGUUUCUCAUACAAUCCAGUUGAUUACGAGAUUUUCAGUUCCGGAAGUUACCGAAGAUGAUUGAUCGAGUUCUAUAUCCUAGAUCUAUACAACACAGUCAGAUUAAACGCUUUGCAAACAUUUCGAAAUCAAAGCGGAGCUCAGGUCGAACUCGCUUAGCAAACUAUCCACGAUCAGAUCAAUUUUCGUUCAUCAAAUCGGAGCUGAGUGUGUUCUAGAGAGGAAGAAAGUACCAGAAGAAGCUGGGACGGUGAGUAGAAGAAGCAGAGCACCGAGGAGAUACACAGCUACGGAUUCCUCUCAGGAUCUUCUUCCCCUUCUUGUGUUCGUUGCUCGGUGCCAAUCGUUUCUUCCCUAUCUGAGGAGCCUUCUUCUGUUCGUCGCUCUGCACCGAUCGUCGCUUUCCUCUGCCAUUUUCGUCUCCCUCUGGAGCUUUCCUCUUCCCUCUGUUAGCUCCUUGUACAUCACUGGAUCUCGUCUUCAUCUUCCCUCUUUCUCUGCUCACUCGGUAUCUCACUAAUUAAGCUAAACAAAAAAAAUUGAUUCAAAUAUUGUUUCAGCUCUGAAUCGCUUCGUAGAGACUAGUGAGUAUAUACCCGCGGAGGAGACACAGCGAAUUUUGAAAUUUUUGAAUUGGAAAUGACGUUUCUGACCCUGUAACAAACUUUCUGGGCCCACCUCUCAAGAGAGCAAUACGGUAUACACAUUUUUUUUUAAUCGGUUUAAACUUCGAACCCGGUUUACCAUCAAAAGACGGAAACUAAACCGAGAAGAUCCUCCCAAGUCCCAAGCUAUACUACAUCAUCGGUCUAGUAAAAAUUCGACUUUAAUUUAUAGAAAUUAAGAAACAAUAUUGUUGUAAAACAUGAAAAGAUAUCAACAUUUUUGAUGCUGUAGAUUAAAAAUCAAAUGUGUAAAGUCUUCAUGUGUGUGGCCUAUGGGGUUGUUUAAAUCCUAAACAUUUACAAAAUUGCUAGACCGGGAAAGGUAACCGGCGGACAUACAAUUUAAUGGCGCCUAACCAAUGAAUCAAAGUAUCAACUGUAAAGAAGUCAGCAUGAACGAGCCGCAGCUACAAUCGUUGCAAGAAUGAUUUCGCACUUCAGUUCAUGAAUUUGCGACAGUUAGGA